AACGAACGCUGGCGGCGUGCUUAACACAUGCAAGUCGAACGCGAAAGGGACUUCGGUCCUGAGUAAAGUGGCGCACGGGUGAGUAACGCGUAGAUAACCUGUCUUCAUGUCUGGAAUAAUACGCCGAAAGGGGUACUAAUACCGGAUAUUCUUGCUUUUCAUAAGUUAUGCAAGCAAAGGUGGCCUCUGCAUAUGCUACUGCAUGAAGAGGGGUCUGCGUACCAUUAGCUAGUAGGUGGGGUAAUGGCCUACCUAGGCGACAAUGGUUAGCGGGUCUGAGAGGAUGAUCCGCCACACUGGCACUGGAACACGGGCCAGACUCCUACGGGAGGCAGCAGUGAGGAAUAUUGCGCAAUGGGGGAAACCCUGACGCAGCGACGCCGCGUGAGUGAGGAAGGCCUUCGGGUCGUAAAGCUCUGUCAAGAGGAAAGAAGUGUACAAUGGCUAAUACCUGUUGUAUUUGACGGUACCUCUAAAGGAAGCACCGGCUAACUCCGUGCCAGCCGCCGC
rnacentral:rRNA from 1 species